AUGCUGAAUUCAGCAGCACAUAUACUAAAAUUGUAAUAAUACAGAGAAGAUUAGCAGGGCCCCUGUGUAAGGAUGACACACUAAUUAAUGAAGUAUUCCAUAGGUGU